rnacentral:rRNA from 1 species
GACGAACGCUGGCGGCGUGCUUAACACAUGCAAGUCGAACGGAAAGGCCCUGCUUUUGUAGGGUGCUCGAGUGGCGAACGGGUGAGUAACACGUGAGUAACCUGCCCUUGACUUUGGGAUAACUUCAGGAAACUGGGGCUAAUACCGGAUAGGAGCUCCUGCUGCAUGGUGGGGGUUGGAAAGUUUCGGCGGUUGGGGAUGGACUCGCGGCUUAUCAGCUUGUUGGUGGGGUAGUGGCUUACCAAGGCUUUGACGGGUAGCCGGCCUGAGAGGGUGACCGGCCACAUUGGGACUGAGAUACGGCCCAGACUCCUACGGGAGGCAGCAGUGGGGAAUAUUGCACAAUGGGCGGAAGCCUGAUGCAGCAACGCCGCGUGCGGGAUGACGGCCUUCGGGUUGUAAACCGCUUUCGCCUGUGACGAAGCGUGAGUGACGGUAAUGGGUAAAGAAGCACCGGCUAACUACG